AUGGUCAAGACGUUCGCCCUCGCCUCCCUCUUCUUCGCCGGCAGCCGUGUGGACGCCACCGCCGGGAGCCUGUCGUCUCCUCCGUCCAUAUCAGCUGCGUCCUCCCGCAGCAUGGCCGCCUCGUGGCAAUGGCCCUCCUGCGCGCAGGCCAGGACCGCGUCCUUCGACGGCCGCAGCAGCGUGGUGGCGGAGGCGGCGGCGUCGUCGGCGCGCCGGGACUGCUGCAGGACGACCCGCGUGAUCACGAACCCGGCCUACUGCGACGACGACACGGCCAACAUUUCUUUCCUCUCCGCCACGGGCUCGUCCUCGGCUUCCACCGCGGCGCCAGAGCCGGAGCUCUCGCGGGCACGCGAGGCCGAGGAGGCGGUCAUCCGCGGGGUCCGGGCGUCGAGCCGGCUCUUCUUCGAGCCCGAGGCGACGAAAUCCAUCGUGAUGACGAGCAAGCCGGUGGCGGAUCAGGCGGCGUUCCGCGGGGCGACGGCGCUGGCCAUCGACUCGGCGGACCCGUACGGUGACUUCCGGCGGUCCAUGGAGGAGAUGGUACUGAGCCGCGGCGGCGGCAGGGGCGACGACGACUGGGGGUGGCUGGAGGAGAUGCUGGGGUGGUACCUCCGCGCCAACGGCAAGAAGACCCAUGGCCUCAUCGUCUGCGCCUUCGUCGACCUGCUCGUCGGGCUCUCCGCAGUCAACAACAAGGACGGCGGCCGGUGCUAG
rnacentral:rRNA from 1 species